rnacentral:lncRNA from 1 species
AGAAACCAUUUUGGACGCACCCGAUGGUACUCCUUGGUAAAAGGCUCAAGUGAAAGCUCAGUUUGGUCUAUUUGGAGAUAGUGCUAAUCUUGAUGCAAGAUAGAUGCACGGUCUGCAUGGAACGUACCAUAUACUUAGAAAUUAAUUUGGACACACACCCGAUAGAACUCCUUGAUGACGUGUGUCAUAUGGAAUCUCGCUUUGGUGUGCUUAGAUGAUGAGGACAUCAACACCAGCGAUACAAAUCCUACAUCCACCAGCGAUACAUAUCCUACAUCCUCUCCGAAACAACCUAUAGCUGGUCCUCUUACUCGUGCUCGUGCCCGUCAACUCAACCUUCAAGUAAGUUCAGCUUUAAACUCUUGUCAAUCAUAUUUAGACAAUGGAGACACGUGCACUUUCGUGUUGCUCAGGAAUAAUGGACAAGAUCAGCAAGGGAAGGUUCAACUGCAUUCAGAAUUUGAGGCAACACCAACUUCAAGGGCUGAUUGC